rnacentral:lncRNA from 1 species
UAUAUUUUUACUUUUAUUUAAACCUUUGCUUAUUUCUUUUACUCUUUAUAUUAAGUAGUUUUAUUUUAUUCAAGCUUUACUUAUUUAAGCACUGUUUCAUUUUUUUGUUCCGCUCUGUUCAGUUUUGUUCUUUGUUUCACUUUGUUCUUAUUUAUCUUCUUUAGUUUUACUUACCGCACUUAUAUUUAUUUGUUCUUUACUAUUUUCAGUUUAAUCGGCCAA